CCUACGGGUGGCAGCAGUAGGGAAUCUUCCACAAUGGACGAAAGUCUGAUGGAGCAACGCCGCGUGAGUGAAGAAGGGUUUCGGCUUGUAAAGCUCUGUUGGUAGUGAAGAAAGAUAGAGGUAGUAACUGGUCUUUAUUUGACGGUACUUACUUAGAAAGUCACGGCUAACUACAUGCCAGCAGCCGCGGUAAUACGUAGGUGGCAAGCGUUGUCCGGAUUUAUUGGGCGUAAAGGGAGUGCAGGCGGUGCAAUAAGUCUGAUGUGAAAGCCUUCGGCUCAACCGCAGAAUUGCAUCUGAAACUGUUAAACUUGAGUACAGAAGAGGAGGGUGGAACUCCAGGUGUAGCGGUGGAAUGCGUAGAGAUAAAGAAGAACACCCAUGGCGAAGGCGGCUCUCUGGACUGCAACUGACGCUGAGGCUCGAAAGCGUGGGUAGCAAACAGGAUUAGAUACCCCGGUAGUC
rnacentral:rRNA from 1 species